AUUGAACGCUGGCGGCAUGCCUUACACAUGCAAGUCGAGCGGCAGCGCGGGGGCAACCCUGCGGCGAGCGGCGGACGGGUGAGUAAUACAUCGGAACGUGUCCUUUCGUGGGGGAUAACCAGUCGAAAGACUGGCUAAUACCGCAUGAGAUCUCACGAUGAAAGCGAGGGACCCGAGGGUAACUUCGGGCCUCGCGCGAUUGGAGCGGCCGAUGCCGGAUUAGCAGUUGGCGGGGUAAA
rnacentral:rRNA from 1 species